UGAAGAGAGCAGACGUCUCCGAGCUACUCAGUCAUUGUAGGUGCUCACCUAAUGAAUCGAUAAACAACAGGGAGGGGGGACCAGAAGUAAUGGAUUCGAUUUAAUAAGAAGUUGGGGUGAUGCAUAAGUGGAAUGAUGCUAAAAUUAGUCGGAGCAGAAGGUCCAGCACAUAAAAUGUCACCAUCAUGUUGUGUAUUCAAGGUGAAGAGAGCCAUGGUCCCAUGAGUACUGACCCCCAUGGUGUGAUUAGAGUUGGCUUUGCAGCCAGAGGUUUAUCUAAUCCUGACCUGACGGUAGGCUGAGGGUGGAGUUCCCAUAGAGACCUGCAGGCAGGGAGUUCACAGCAAGUGUUUCCGGUCACUCCCACCGGAAUGUGCGCCUAAUCACUAUGGGAACCACGGAUCCUUAAGAGAACUACGGAGUUGAUAACAAAGACCCUACAGCUGUUGCCAGACCCAGGAAAGCUUCGCUGAAUUUGUAUUUUUCAGAGUAGUUUAAGACGUCUUCUGACCUCCAUUGGCAUGCAAGGAGGAGAAAACAACUAAGACAAGCCUCUUCCCAGAUUGAAUAUGGUGUCCAGCCACCUUCCAUGGCCUUCCAUGUUGGACCCCUGGAUUGCAAGGGGAAAGAUCUACAGUACAUGCCAGAAUCGCCGUGCACGCUCACGGCAAUUCUUGGAGAGAUAUAUGAUCAAGUCAGGAAUGAACUCAGAGACAUGAAGCAUGCGUGGUUUGAGUGUUUGAAAUGUCCCAGGAAACUUGUGUGUCUGAAUGCUCGGUCCUCUAGCUGGUAGCAUUGUGUUAGGUCACAGAACCUUCAGGGGUGAAGCCUCAGUGAAAGAAGUCACUGGAGGAUUGAGAGGUUGUUAUAGCAGGGCCCCACUUACACUCCACUCUCUGCAACCUGACUGUGCAAGGAACAGGACCUGCCGUGCCACAGUCUCACCACCGAGCCUUUCUCGACAAAAUGAACUGGUUUUCUUCUUAAACUACAAACCACAAGAAAACCUUCCUUAAGUGCUCCUGUUGGGCAAUUUGUCCCAUCAGGAAAAGCAACUAACACAGGAGGCUGGUACAGAGGAGUGGAGCUGCUGCUUUGAUAAAUUUGACUGCGACGUUCCUUGGACCUGAUUUGUGGGAGGAAUGUGGAGGAGUUCCACACUGUGGGCUAGGAACCCACUCUGAUGCUGCAGGCAGAGCCUGCUGGACCGUACUGCCUGGAACCUUAAAAGACAAGAAUGCUGAGAGAAACAUAGGCAGAAGAGGCCCAGCUCAGGAAGUUUCAGACAGGAACAAGAACUCUACUGUGGACUGGACUAGAGGCCAUUUGUGUUUCAUCAUUGAAAAGAAUCUGGAUGAUUUCUGCUAUGUUCUGUGGACUUCGGUGCAGAGAUGGCUCAGCAGUUAAGAGCACUCGCUGCUUUUCUAUUUCAGUUCCAAGCCCCCAUGUCAGGUGGCUCACAAAUACCUGUAACUCCAGCUCCAGGAGACCUGAUGCUGCCUUCUGUCCUCCAUGGGCGCAUAUACAUGGCACACACACACACAAGGCAAUAAAAACAAAUCAUUUUUUUAAAUGAACUCAUCAGUUUGGUGGAGGAAAUUCAAAAGCAGGAUAACAUUCAAGGUUUGCUAUGGCUACCACUCACUUCUCUUAUCCAGGUCUACAGAGAGGAGGGUACUGGGGGAGGAGAGAGCAAGUGAAACAGAAAAGUAUGAAAGUAAGCUGUUUGGUGUGGAAAGGAACAAGUUUGACAAUGUGGACAUCAUAGGGGGACUUUGAAAGUGACUGGUAUUGUUAAAUUAGCCCCAUCGAAGAGGGAGCCUGGUGCUGUGCACUGGGACAAAACUGGCUUACAGUUCCCAAGGGCAGGAGCCUAGUUAGGAGCCUACUUAUGAAAAUGCAGAUUAAUGUGGAAGGAGAGAGAGCUGAGCUGAGAAUGACUUUGAAGGAGUCCCCUACCUAGGAAAGCAUCUGCCAAGACUCGGCUGACAGAACACAUGAAGGCCACUACAGCUGCAGUACAGGGCAGGUCAUAGCUAGAGCCAGCAACAGAGCUGGGCAGCAUUGGCCACAUGGUACUGGGAUUUUCAGACUUAAAAGAUUCAGGAGUGAGGGCUUCGUAGACAUCUGCACCAAAGUUCCAGAAGGUCACUGUACCAGGCAAUGUGUAGCAGGGCUGGGUUUCCUACAAAGAGGCCCCAAGAAGAUACUGCAUGAAGCUGGCAACGUGGAGACACCAAAACGCUGGGAAAUCCAGUGAAGAAAACUAUAGGCAUGAAGUAGAGGCGGGCUGAGAGAAAGGCUGUGUGUGUUACAGGUAGCCGAGCAGGAGGGGUUGGAACACCCAAGACUUUUCGAGCCCAGCUGAUUCCACAGGAGCUCCAGAUGCCAGACAUGGAACUCUGGGAUCUGCUGAGUUUGGCUCUUGCUUUGUCUCAUUUUUCCUUGCUGUACCCCAUUCCUCCUCUUUGAAAUGGAAAUGUUUACUCAGUGCCAUUGUUUAUUGGAAUAUAUAGCUUGUCUUUUAAAUUAUUGUAUAAGGGUGAGAAAUUACCUGUAAUCUCAGAAGACUAUGGAGACUUUGGAAAUUGGAAUGGAUAAAUUUUGCAUUAUGAGAUGACCAUGAGCCCAUGGGAUACAGAGACAGAAUGUUUUGGAUAUGAAAUGUCCCCCAUAGGCUCAUGUAUUUGAACAUACCGUCUCCCACUGGUAGUGCUGUUUUGGAAGGUUCUAACACAGUUAGAAAGUAGACUCUGGCUAUAGGGAGUUGUUCACUGGGGGCCAGGAAUUGAGGUUUGGUAGUUCCACUCUCCUUCCUGUCAGCUAGCUCUCUGAACUACACAGGCGUUAGGAGGACCAGCUACUUCUACUGUCUUUCCCACCAUGACGGAUUGUGUCUCCACUUAGACCAUGGGCUCAAACAAGCCUUCUGUCCUUGUUUUGGACAAGUGUUUUGUCCCAGCGACAAGAAAACUAAUAUAAGUAUUGUCCAGUGAAAUGUGAUUAGUCCACUUUUCAGGACUUGGAUAGUUUAAGAAUCCUUUGCUAUAAAAUACACCUGGGUCCAUUCAUUGAUCCAUGUACUAAUCACACAUCUAUCUUUUGUCAACUAUGUGCUUGGGCUUAGAUUAGCAGAGGUAAACCAUGUGGCGCAUUAACCUGCAGAAACCGCGCAUGGAUGAACACCAACAUCCUACGAGGCCAAUCCCACUGAUGGCAGUGGGCGCUGUACUCUGAGGAGGGUAGCAGAACUAUUCUUUGGCGUUAGCACUUAUACAUGGAGACUGGGUUGCUCUGUGCCAUGCUGUGGCCCUUCUCCCAUCAUCAUGAGUUGUGGCUUUGUUCUUCUCCUUAGUAGGGUCUGAGCUGGAGAAAACUGGCUUAGUAAGCAUACGUUGCAUCAGUUGGCACUGUCCCAACCCUUACGUUACCAUCUGGCCCUUCCUCACUUUUAUGCUCCCU
rnacentral:lncRNA from 1 species